rnacentral:tRNA from 44 species
GGAGAAGUACUCAAGUGGCUGAAGAGGUGCCCCUGCUAAGGGUAUAGAUCGCGCAAGCGGUGCGAGGGUUCGAAUCCCUCCUUCUCCG